GACGAACUGUCCAAACGUUAUUCGGAAUCACUGGGCUUACAGAGUUCGUAGGCGGUCUGGAAAGUUGGGUGUGAAAUCCCUCGGCUUAACCGAGGAACUGCGCCCAAAACUACUGUGCUUGAGUGAGAUAGAGGUGAGCGGAACUUAGGGUGGAGCGGUGAAAUGCGUUGAUAUCCUAAGGAACACCGGUGGCGAAAGCGGCUCACUGGGUCUCAACUGACGCUGAUGCACGAAAGCUAGGGUAGCGAACGGG
rnacentral:rRNA from 1 species